ACGGCUCAGUAACACGUGGCUAACCUACCCUCACGACGGGGAUAACCUCGGGAAACUGAGGAUAACCCCCGAUAGGCGAGGGGUUUUGGAAGAACCCUUCACCGAAAGGGAAAGGGAAAUGGACCUUAUCCGCGUGAGGAUGGGGCUGCGUCCCAUCAGGCAGUUGGUGGGGUAAUGGCCCACCAAACCUAUAACGGGUACGGGCCGUGAGAGCGGGAGCCCGGAGAUGGGCACUGAGACAAGGGCCCAGGCUCUACGGAGCGCACCAAGCGCGAAACCUUCGCAAUGCGGGAAACCGUGACGGGGCCAUCCCGAGUGCAGGCUGCUGAGGCCUGCUUUUACCCAGUGUAAGAAGCUGGGUGAAUAAGUGGGGGGCAAGACUGGUGUCAGCCGCCGCGGUAAUACCAGCUCCACGAGUGGUCAGGACGGUUAUUGGGCCUAAAGCGUCCGUAGCUGGCCCAGUAAGUUUAUGGUGAAAUCCGGCAUCUCAAGUGUCGGAGUGCUGUAAAUACUGCUGGGCUAGGGAGCGGGAGAGGCCGGGGGUACCUCUGGGGUAGGGGCGAAAUCCUAUAAUCCCAGAGUGACGACCAGUGGCGAAAGCGCCCGGCUAGAACGCGUCCGACAGUGAGGGACGAAAGCUGGGGUAGCAAACCGGAUUAGAUACCCGGGUAGUCCCAGCCGUAAACUAUGCGGGCUAGUUGUCGGAACGGCUUAGGGCCGUUUCGGUAACGCAGGGAAGCCGUUAAGCCCGCCGCCUGGGGAGUACGACCGCAAGGUUGAAACUUAAAGGAAUUGGCGGGGGAG
rnacentral:rRNA from 1 species